CGGAACGUGCCCGAUCGUGGGGGAUAACGCAGCGAAAGCUGUGCUAAUACCGCAUACGAUCUACGGAUGAAAGCGGGGGAUCGCAAGACCUCGCGCGGACGGAGCGGCCGAUGGCAGAUUAGGUAGUUGGUGGGGUAAAGGCUCACCAAGCCUGCGAUCUGUAGCUGGUCUGAGAGGACGACCAGCCACACUGGGACUGAGACACGGCCCAGACUCCUACGGGAGGCAGCAGUGGGGAAUUUUGGACAAUGGGCGCAAGCCUGAUCCAGCCAUGCCGCGUGCAGGAUGAAGGCCUUCGGGUUGUAAACUGCUUUUGUACGGAACGAAAAGGUUCUUUCUAAUAAAGAGAGCUCAUGACGGUACCGUAAGAAUAAGCACCGGCUAACUACGUGCCAGCAGCCGCGGUAAUACGUAGGGUGCAAGCGUUAAUCGGAAUUACUGGGCGUAAAGCGUGCGCAGGCGGUGAUGUAAGACAGAUGUGAAAUCCCCGGGCUCAACCUGGGAACUGCAUUUGUGACUGCAUCGCUGGAGUGCGGCAGAGGGGGAUGGAAUUCCGCGU
rnacentral:rRNA from 1 species